rnacentral:rRNA from 1 species
UACGGGGGGGGCGAGCGAUGUUCGGAAUUACUGGGCGUAAAGGGUUCGUAGGUGGCUUGCUAAGUCAGACGUGAAAUCCCUCGGCUCAACCGGGGAAUUGCGUCUGAAACUGGCGAGCUUGAGUGCAGGAGAGGAACGCGGAAUUCCAGGUGUAGCGGUGAAAUGCGUAGAUAUCUGGAGGAACACCGGUGGCGAAGGCGGCGUUCUGGACUGCAACUGACACUGAGGAAUGAAAGCCAGGGUAGCAAACGGG